UCAGCAAAAUGCGCUUCCUUUGUUAUAAUAGAGAUCUUACGAUGUAGGACGGCAACGCAACGACAACGGCCAAAAUAUACUGUUUGGUUAGCUUGAAAUUAUAGUGGCUUUAUUGUUGAGAAAGUUCCACUGUAGUACUGAGUAUCACUUCUCGCGUCUGAGUAUCUCUUCUCGCGUCUUGAAAUGCAGGCAUUUUAUCCAAAACGUAACUGUGCUAUAGUCUAUAAUAACAUCAUAGAGUUGUACUGGGGCCGGUUGUUCACGCUGGAUUAGCGCUAAACCAUGGGUUAAAAAUUGACCUGAUGUUUUGGUCUGGGUGCAUACUGCGCUUCCGUUAAAAUAGAACUUCUAUUGAGCCAACAAGAAUUCUGGAAGACUAUCUUCAUAUUUUUAAACAUGGAAAUUAUCGAGUGGAAAUUCUAUAUAAAUUUAUUAGACCUAACCAGGAACAGCUGCGAAGAAUAGAACUAUAUAUAGGUCCCUGACAGGAAUCGAACCUGCGGCCCUCCGAUUCCGGAGCAGCGCUCUAACCAACUGAGCUACUGGACCUAUAGUUGCAUUUUUUCGCAGCUGUUCCUAGUUAGGUCUAAUAAAUGUAUAUAGAAUUUCCACUCGAUAGAAUUUCCACUCUACAAAACCCUCCAACUAUUAUUAUUGAAUGGAGUCAGAUACCAAAAAAAUCUUGAUAUUUAUCGGCUUUUACCUUAAUAUGGCAGUACCCUAGUAUAUAUACAUAAACUUGUGGUUAGAGCUCGGCAACUGGACUCUGUAGCUCAUGCAGUUGGUCAAAGCGCUGCUCCGGAAUCGCAGGGCUGCAGGC